rnacentral:rRNA from 1 species
UACAGAGGGGGCAAGCGUUGUUCGGAAUUACUGGGCGUAAAGGGCGCGUAGGCGGCCUGUUAAGUCGAACGUGAAAUCCCCGGGCUCAACCCGGGAACUGCGUCCGAUACUGGCAGGCUUGAAUUCGGGAGAGGGAUGCGGAAUUCCAGGUGUAGCGGUGAAAUGCGUAGAUAUCUGGAGGAACACCGGUUGCGAAGGCGGCAUCCUGGACCGACAUUGACGCUGAGGCGCGAAAGCCAGGGGAGCAAACGGG